rfam:Aedes aegypti strain Liverpool supercont1.535 genomic scaffold, whole genome shotgun sequence.
UCUCUCAUGGCGUAGUGGUUAACGCGCCCCAACUAGAGAUCGGGGAAUCGUGAGUUAGAUUCUCACUGAGAAGA